AGGCCUGUUUUGGCCUGGCUGCAACUGACUCCUGGAGAUUGUCUCCAGCCACAUAUUUUGAAGGUUUCUCACCAUUGCUACAGGCUAUAGGACAAUUUUCCUCUAUUCCUGCUCCAUCUACCAGUAGUGCUUACUGGAAAUCAGCUUUCCAUACCUUUCCUUCCAGUUGCUGCUUCUCCUACAUGUCCUGAACCAUCUGCCCACCGGCAUUCUCCAGGGUUGUCCUAUUGUGAGCCACCCCAGUAGGCAUCCUUGAUGCAAAGACCACAUUCUCAUCUCAACUGAGCAAGAAUAAUAAUAGAAAUUAUAAUAUUGCUUAUUUGAUAUUAAUUCAAAGCCGCCAUCUCCCCAUACACACACGUACAUACUACGAUAACCUCCUUGAUGUUUUCACAAUAAUCUCUACUCUGGGUUCUUAAUUCAUCCCCAGGGGUCUCUCCAGGAGCUCAAGGUUUCUCUACUUGCAGAUGGCCCUAAACACCUCUGGAGUUUCUGUUGUCUCGAAAAGAGCAAGAGGGACUAUAAAUACUAUGUGUAUUAGGAAGAGGAAAGCAAAUGGGGUUGGGAAUGCCGAAAGAGUUGGGACUGGAAAUGUAUUCUGAAGGGAGGACAAUGCAGGCUUCCCCCCAAAGAAUGGAAGAUGAGAAGCCAGAUUCCCUGGUUCCUACCCACUGUGUGACCCAGAGCAGCUCUAUAUUAGAUCAUUAGCUGCUUCCAGGAUCAUCAUUUCUUUUUCUCCAUGAUUCAUUGACUCUUAAAUGCAACCAUUUCUUCACCCUGUCAUUGUGGAGCACAUAAUCCAAAAUUUUAUUGAAAUCAAGAGAUGUUUUCCUUGCUAUUAUAUUGGGAGCAGAAUACGAUUCCUUUGAACACUUCCAAAGUUCAUUUUUGUUUCUCAGUGACUGCUUUCAAGUUUUCAAACAAGAAAGGAUUUUGUUUUUCUCUGGCUAAAGCUUAUUUUUACCCAGCCUUGGUUUUCUUUCCUUUCCUUUAAAAAUCCUCAGCACAUCUAAGUACACUAAAUAUUUAUGAAUGUAAUUUAUGAGCUUUGGCCGUUUACUCCUUGCCAAAACUAAAAAGUAUGUCUGUGUGUGGCCUGAAAAAUCCCAGCUAUGACAAAACCAAAACAGAGAAAUAAGCAACUACUUCACAUAAAAAAAGAGAAAAAGAGGUCAAACUUCACAAAAGUCCAGAAAUUACUCACUUGACAUAUUCAGACUGGCACAAAGGAAAAUAAAUAAUAUUACAUCUCCUCCAAGAACCUUGUCCUGUAUGUCCUGCCUCAGAUGUCCUGCAGUAAACAUUUAUUGAGAGCAUCAGGAGGGAAAAUGUCCCAGGCAUCUGAAAGACAGAGGCCUGCAGCUUGCUGGGCAGCUAGGGCCCAGGGUGCUGCCCACCUCAGCCCUGUCCCCCAAAGCCUGUGUCAGCUGCGUAUACUGAGCACUUAACUGUGCAGGAAGGGAAGUCAGCAGAUCUCUAAUGAAUUCCUGAUCUGACUCCAAUCCCUCUCUUCCUUGAACACAUUUCUUUGGAGAAUCAAAACCCAA
rnacentral:lncRNA from 10 species